GCGAAUGUGGUGAAAUUGGUAGACGCAGGACAUUUAAAAUGUUCCGCCUUUGGCGUGUCGGUUCGAUCCCGACCAUUCGCACCA
rnacentral:tRNA from 1 species